rnacentral:rRNA from 1 species
UCAAAAACAUCACCUUAUGAUAAAGCAUAUAAGGCUCUUCCUGCCCAGUGACAUAACGUUUAACGGCCGCGGUACCCUGACCGUGCAAAGGUAGCAUAAUCAUUCGCCUCCUAAUUAGUGGCUUGUAUGAAUGGAUAAAUGAAAGUAAUGCUGUCUCAUUAAUAUACUUAUAAAUUUAUAUAUAGGUGAAGAAGCCUAUAUUUUAUUAAAAGACAAAAAGACCCUAUGAGCUUUAUUUAAACUAUUAAGUCACUUAUUAUACUAUAUUUAUGAAAUAGAAAAUUUGGUUGGGGCGACAGGGGAACAAAUAAAACUUCCCUUAUUUCUAGAGUUACAUCUCACAACACUGAUCCAUGCUAAUGAACAUAGAAUUAAGCUACCUUAGGGAUAACAGACUAAUUUUUUCAGAGAGCCCAAAUUGACGAAAAAGAUUGGCACCUCGAUGUUGGCUUAGGGUUCCCUCAAGUGCAGCCGCUUGAAUAGGUGAGUUUGUUCAACUUAUAAUACCCUACGUGAUCUGA